UGCGCACCCUCAAAAUAGUCUGAAUGAAUCUAAGAUAACUCAAGAAAUCUGUCAUUAAUUUUGACAUUUUUGCCGAGGAGAUCUUUUACAUCUAACUAAGAUGCUUGGUGCAGUAUUUUUCAUUUGCAGGAAAACGAGUCGUCUCUCGUUGAAUGACAAUAAAGACUUUAUUGAAGAAUCCCAGCUGUUGACCAAUCAACGAGGAAGGAAAAUGUGGUUAGCUCAAAACAAGAUAUGGAGACUGAGCCUGUGAGCAAAGUGGUACAGCCCAGAGUACUAACAGAGGAAGAAAUCCAGGAUGUUUGGAGAGGCAUCACUCUCACACACCUGCAGAGAACAUUGGGAUUGAUCUCACUUGAGGAUGUUUUGGAUCCAAGACACGUCAAUCCUCAAAACAUUGUGUACAACGUGACCAUUGUGAACAAGCAUGGGGUUGUUACACUUUAGGAUAAGACGGAUGACCUCCCACACUGGGUUUUGUCUGCAAUGAAAGGUCUUGCAAACUGGUCGAAGUAUGAUGCCAGCCAGCCAUCCUAUCCUGGGUUUGAGAGGGAUGUGUUUAAAACGGUCUCUGACUACUUCUAUAGCCUCCCUCGGCCUAUUCUCACAUCUGACUACUACAAGUUGUUUGUCAACAUCUUGGUUUUAUGUGGCUACGUUUUGGCUCCUAAAACUGAGGAAAGCGAAAAGGCGCUGUCAGAGCUCUCUGGACCUGUCUAGGCCGACCCUUCCUCUGCCUUCGGUGUCCACUUAUGCACAGUACCGGAGUCCUAAGCAAAGUAAGCCUGCGUCUGCAAAUCAAACUUUGUCUCGUGCCGAAUACAAGUGUAGACUUUCCUGUGAAAUGCUUACUUACCAGCCCUUAACCAACAGUGUAGUUCAGGAAGAAGAAAAUAUUUACCAAAUAAACUAAAG